rnacentral:rRNA from 1 species
UACUUAGUGGCAGACGGGUGAGUAACAUGUGGGUAUCUACCCUUUGGCCUGGAAUAACACGAGGAAACUUGUGCUAAUACCGGAUAAGUCUUUACGGAGAAAGCUUUAUGCACCAUUGGAUGAGCCCGCACUUGAUUAGUUUGUUGGUAGGGUAAUGGCCUACCAAGACUAUGAUCAAUAGCUGAUUUGAGAGGAUGAUCAGCCACACUGGGACUGAGACACGGCCCAGACUCCUACGGGAGGCAGCAGUGGGGAAUAUUGGACAAUGGAGGCAACUCUGAUCCAGCAAUGCCGCGUGUGUGAUGAAGGCCUUAGGGUUGUAAAGCUCUUUCGUCGGGGAAGAAAAUGACUGUACCCGAAUAAGAAGGUCCGGCUAACUUCGUGCCAGCAGCCGCGGUAAUACGAAGGGACCUAGCGUAGUUCGGAAUUACUGGGCUUAAAGAGUUCGUAGGUGGUUGAAAAAGUUGGUGGUGAAAUCCCAGAGCUUAACUCUGGAACUGCCAUCAAAACUUUUCAGCUAGAGUAUGAUAGAGGAAAGCAGAAUUUCUAGUGUAGAGGUGAAAUUCGUAGAUAUUAGAAAGAAUACCAAUUG